rnacentral:lncRNA from 1 species
AAAACACUCCUUUUGCACAAGCCACAACAUCCUUCAACCCAUUCUUCUCCAUUCUGCAUCCUUCACUCGCGCUUUCAUCCUUCAACUUUCAACAUUCAUCCUUCAAUGUGAAUUUACCAUUCAUCCUCUAAUACGAACUCAUCAUUCAUCCUUUAACACGAAUUGGAUGAACUUCGUCAUUCAGCGCGAACUCAUACAAACUUCAGUUUUCAGUCUUUCUAAAUUUUGUUUUCACUCU